AGAUGUGCUCGUAGAGUAACGAGCAGGGGUAAACAAAAGAAAUGCUCAUUAAGA
rnacentral:sRNA from 12 species